UAUUUCUGGAGAGAGAGAGAGGUAGAUUUUUAUGUUUAUUAUUAAGUUAGUUUCAGCUUCUGAUAGCAGGUUAUUAAGAGUUUACUUGAGGAGAGGAUUACGGAAUUUUAGUCUAUAGUGGAGGAAGUCUUUGAGAUUUUUUUUUUGACGUAACAGAUGUUUAUUUGAGGAUACUUGUAAGGAUAAAGUUUAUAGUGAUAAGUUGUUUUAAGUCGUUGAAUUUAUUGUAGAUUUAUAUCGGGGAUUAUUACGUGAGGAGAAUACGUUAUAAGUUAAAUGCUUAUUAGAGAUAAUGCAAGUGGUUUAAUUUAAUUGAAGUUCAUUUUAAGAUUGUAGGUUAAGAGAAUUAUAAUUUAAAAUAAAGUUUUUUGUCGUAAAUAGGAAUUAUUUUCAAGAGAAGUUUGUUUUGUUUUCGUGCGCGUAGGAGACGAGACGUACGAAUUAAAUCAGUCGAGGGAAGGAUAAACGUUAGAAAGGAAUUAAAGAGAAAACGAGAGUUUAUGUAAAAGAGAGUUAUAGAAUUUAUAGUGAUGUUUUGUUUUAAUUAGAAAAAUGUUGAGAGUUGUUUCAGAACGACACGUCAGUGGACGUGGCAGAGUGAACACGUGAUGGGGAGGUGCUGAGACCUAGCGGAGAACGGAGGAACCGCAAGCGAGGGUUGGCGCACCUGAUGGAAUUCGGUGACGUCACGGGCUCAUACGGAGACGUGGACAGGCCGUGACCUUGUUUUGAUCAGCUGUACGGUAACUUAGCGAUAAGAAAAUAGACUAUUGGUUAAAUAAAUUUAAAUUUAAGUGUGUUUUAGGAGAAGAGGAACUUUCAGUAUAUUCCUUAAGAUUAGCUGAGCAGCAGUCCAGUUUACAAGAUGACAAGAGUUCGAGAGACAAGAUACAAGAUCACUGAAACAAGAGCCAAGACUGAAGAUUCAAGAGAAGAGAAAGCUGGCAGCCAUGGACUUACAAGUGGAGAUUAAUAAGGUCAUGUAAAGUUUUAUUUUUUUUUUAUGGAAGACAGUAACUGGAGUUUUUUUUUGUUAUAAACAUUAUUUACAGAACUUUUUAGGUUAUAGUAAUGUAAUGGAACUAGUGAGUUGUGGUAGCUGUCAAAAAGAACUAAUACCUUAAGUUUAAUUUUUAAAGUUAAUUUUCUUAAUUUACAGAGGGAUUAGUAGUUUUUUUUAAAACCUUAUUUAGGUUGGAAUUUAAAUACAAUAGCUUAUUAUAAAUGUGUACGAACAGUUCAAGUUCACAGUACUGAUAGGUAGGUCAGAUGAUCUUAUUGAUUUUGAUGAUUUGUUGUUUUGAGUUGAUUUUUAAGUGUUGUGAAUUAGACAAUGAAAUAGUUCUGAAAACUUAAAUUAUUUCAAGCUAAGAAAUAGUAAAGUUAAUUGUAACUCAAAGGACACCAGAAUUUAAUUUUUUUUUGAAUUAGUAAUGUUUGAAAAUUUUAUACUUUACAAGAAAGGUUAUAAACAAACAGAUCGGAUGGAACAAGGAUGCAGUAAAUCACAAUUUCAUUUAGAAUUAUUGAUUAGCUUUUGAGGUUAUGAAGUAAAAGUAAUUAUAGUUUAAAAGUUUGAAUAAAAAAAAAUGUUUUUUUUUUAAUUUGUUUGAAAUAGAAAGUUUAAAAGUUAAUUAGUCAUGAUCUAGGUGGGUGAUGGGGUGGGAAUUGGCCACUCUUUUUCCCUAUAACCUCCCUAACAUGGCCUUCUAUUACAUCUAACAGAAAAAAAAAGAAGAAAAAGAAGACUUAUUAUUAGUUAGAAUGUUUUUUUAUGAAGAUACCUGAUGAACUUUUUUUUUAUUGUUGGGAAGAAUAGUAGCAAGAUUAAUCAGAUGUUUUACUCAGAA